GAUUCCCUUAGUAGCGGCGAGCGAACCGGGAAGAGCUCAAAUUUGUAAUCUGGCGUCGUAUGGCGUCCGAGUUGUAAUCUACAGAGGCGUUUUCCGCGCCGGACCGUGUGCAAGUCCCCUGGAAUGGGGUAUCAAAGAGGGUGAGAAUCCCGUGCUUCACACGACCACCGGGGCUAUGUGAUGCGUCCUCGACGAGUCGAGUUGUUUGGGAAUGCAGCUCAAAACGGGUGGUAGACUCCAUCUAAAGCUAAAUACGGGCGAGAGACCGAUAGCGAACAAGUACCGUGAGGGAAAGAUGAAAAGCACUUUGGAAAGAGAGUGAAACAGUAUGUGAAAUCGUUGAGAGGGAAACGAUUGAAGCCAAUCGUGUCCUUUGGGAUCAGCCGGUUCUGCCGGUGCACUCCCACUGGAUGGGUCAACAUCGGUUCGGGGCGGCGGAUUAGGGCGUGGGGAACGUGGCACCCUCGGGUGUGUUAUAGCCCCGCGUCGGAAACGUCGGCCUGGACCGAGGAUCGCGAUUUAUUCGAGGAUGUUGGCGCAAUGGCUUUAAACGACCCGUCUUGAAACACGGACCACAA
rnacentral:rRNA from 1 species